GAUGAACGCUGGCGGCGUGCCUAAUACAUGCAAGUCGAGCGAACAGACGAGGAGCUUGCUCCUCUGACGUUAGCGGCGAACGGGUGAGUAACACGUGGAUAACCUACCUAUAAGACUGGGAUAACUUCGGGAAACCGGAGCUAAUACCGGAUAAUAUAUUGAACCGCAUGGUUCAAUAGUGAAAGACGGUUUUGCUGUCACUUAUAGAUGGAUCCGCGCCGCAUUAGCUAGUUGGUAAGGUAACGGCUUACCAAGGCAACGAUGCGUAGCCGACCUGAGAGGGUGAUCGGCCACACUGGAACUGAGACACGGUCCAGACUCCUACGGGAGGCAGCAGUAGGGAAUCUUCCGCAAUGGGCGAAAGCCUGACGGAGCAACGCCGCGUGAGUGAUGAAGGUCUUCGGAUCGUAAAACUCUGUUAUUAGGGAAGAACAAAUGUGUAAGUAACUAUGCACGUCUUGACGGUACCUAAUCAGAAAGCCACGGCUAACUACGUG
rnacentral:rRNA from 1 species